rnacentral:rRNA from 1 species
UAGGGAAUCUUCCGCAAUGGGCGAAAGCUUGACGGAGCAACGCCGCGUGAGUGAUGAAGGUCUUCGGAUCGUAAAACUCUGUUAUUAGGGAAGAACAAAUGUGUAAGUAACUAUGCACGUCUUGACGGUACCUAAUCAGAAAGCCACGGCUAACUACGUGCCAGCAGCCGCGGUAAUACGUAGGUGGCAAGCGUUAUCCGGAAUUAUUGGGCGUAAAGCGCGCGUAGGCGGUUUUUUAAGUCUGAUGUGAAAGCCCACGGCUCAACCGUGGAGGGUCAUUGGAAACUGGAAAACUUGAGUGCAGAAGAGGAAGUGGAAUUCCAUGUGUAGCGGUGAAAUGCGCAGAGAUAUGGAGGAACACCAGUGGCGAAGGCGACUUUCUGGUCUGUAACUGACGCUGAUGUGCGAAAGCGUGGGGAUCAAACAGG